AUACUUACCUGGACGGAGUCUAUGGCUGAUCAAGAAGGGUCAUAGCUUAGGUUGGUGAUCUCCAUUGCACUUUGAAAAAGCAUCAACCUAACAUCUUCCCAAAUGGGAGAGUGUGUACGUCAUAAUUUGUUACUUUGGGGGUACGCGUUCGCGCGACCCUUG
rnacentral:snRNA from 1 species